UGUGACAAAACCCCGCGGUGGCAGUGCGGGGGCACGGGGAGCGCAGCCCGGGUGGGGACCUUGGGGUGACAGCGCAACUUUGGGGCGCCGAGAGCAGGAGGGGAGGGCGGAUUGCUCUGCGGGGGACUCGCCUCGCUCCUUCCCUGCCGCCUUCCCUCCGGAGGAACAUCCCGGGCCGGAAAAAUCCAUCGGGAAAACGCACCUGGGCUUGGGGAUGGGCCCCGGCGGCGAGCGCUGAGGAUCUCUCUGCACGUGCCACCACCCCAGGGGACACCCCAAAGUCACCCCAAGGGACAUCCCAAGGUCCUGAGGCCACACAGGGAAGCUCCAAGAUGAUCCCGAGGAGAGCCCAGGCCACCUGCGCCGGAAUUGCCUUCGCCCUCUGCCUCCAGCACCUCGUCAGCGCCAUCGAGGUCCCCCUGGACCCAAAUAUCCAGAGUGAAUUGCCGCAGCCCCCCACGAUCACCAAGCAAUCCAUCAAGGAUUACAUCGUGGAUCCCAGGGAUAACAUCUUCAUCGAAUGCGAAGCCAAAGGCAACCCCGUUCCCAUCUUCUCCUGGACGCGGAACGGGAAGUUCUUCAACGUGGCCAAGGAUCCCAAGGUGUCCAUGAGGAGGAGAUCGGGGACUUUGGUCAUCGACUUCCACAGCGGGGGCCGGCCCGAUGACUACGAGGGCGAGUACCAGUGCUUCGCCAGGAACGACUACGGCACGGCCCUUUCCAGCAAAAUCCACCUCCAGGUUUCCAAAUCUCCGCUGUGGCCCAAGGAAAAGGUGGAUGUGAUCGAGGUGGACGAGGGGGCCCCGCUGAGCCUGCAGUGCAAUCCCCCACCCGGCCUCCCCGAGCCCGUCAUCUUCUGGAUGAGCAGCUCCAUGGAGCCGAUCCCACAGGACAAGCGCGUGUCCCAGGGCCACAACGGGGACCUUUACUUCUCCAACGUGCUGGCGCAGGACGCGCUGACCGACUACAGCUGCAACGCCCGCUUCCACUUCACCCACACCAUCCAGCAGAAGAACCCUUACACCCUCAAGGUCAAAACCAAGAAGUCCCAUAACGAAACGUCUUUAGGAAAUUCCCCCGCCAUGUACCGCGCCCGAGGGAUCUCAGAAACCACUCCCAGCUUCAUGUAUCCCUACGGAACUUCCAGCAGCCAGAUGGUGCUCCGAGGGGUGGAUCUCCUGCUGGAAUGCAUCGCCUCCGGAGUACCAGCGCCGGACAUCAUGUGGUACAAGAAAGGCGGGGAGCUCCCGGUGGGUAAAACCAAGCUGGAGAACUUCAACAAGGCCCUGCGCAUCUCCAACGUGUCCGAGGAGGACUCCGGGGAAUAUUUCUGCCUGGCCUCCAACAAGAUGGGCAGCAUCCGCCACACCAUCUCCGUGAGAGUGAAGGCUGCUCCCUACUGGCUGGAUGAGCCGGAGAACCUGAUCCUGGCCCCCGGUGAGGACGGCAGGCUCGUGUGCCGGGCCAACGGCAACCCCAAACCGACCAUCCAGUGGCUGGUGAACGGAGAGCCCAUCGAAUCGUCUCCCCCCAACCCGAGCCGGGAGGUGGCCGGCGACACCAUCGUGUUCCGGGACACGCAGAUCGGCAGCAGCGCCGUGUACCAGUGCAACGCGUCCAACGAGCACGGCUACCUGCUGGCCAACGCCUUCGUCAGCGUGCUGGAUGUUCCUCCCCGGAUCCUGGGCCCCCGGAACCAGCUGAUCAGGGUGAUCCAGAACAACAGGACGCGCCUGGAUUGUCCCUUUUUUGGGUCCCCCAUCCCCACCCUGCGCUGGUUUAAGGACGGCCAGGGGAACACGCUGGAUGGAGGCAACUACAAAGCCUACGAGAACGGGAGCUUGGAGAUGUUCAUGGCUCGGAAGGAGGACCAGGGACUCUACACCUGCGUGGCCACCAACAUCCUGGGGAAAGCUGAGGCCCAGGUCCGCCUGGAGGUCAAAGACCCCACCAGGAUCGUGAGGGGCCCCGAGGACCAGGUGGUGACGAAGGGCACCAUGCUCCGGCUGCACUGCCGCGUCAGGCACGACCCCACGCUGCGGCUCAUGGUCAGCUGGCUCAAGGACGAUGCCCCCCUGUACCUGGGGAACAGGAUGAAGAAGGAAGAGGAUGGUCUGAUGAUCUAUGGAGUGACUGAGAAGGACCAGGGUGAUUACACGUGUGUGGCCAACACGGAGCUGGACAAGGACUUGGCCAAGGCCUAUCUCACCGUGCUGGCCAUCCCCGCUAAUCGGUUGAGAGAUUUACCCAAAGCACGACCUGACCAGCCCCGGGACUUGGAGCUGACGGAUCUGGCCGAGAGGAGCGUGCGGCUGACGUGGAUCCCUGGCGAUGACAACAACAGCCCCAUCACAGGCUACGUGGUGCAGUUCGAGGAGGAUCGCUUCCAGCCCGGAGUGUGGCACGACCACUCCAGGUACCCCGGCAGCGUCAACUCGGCCGUGCUGAGCCUGUCGCCGUACGUGAAUUACCAAUUCCGGGUGAUCGCCGUCAACGACGUGGGCAGCAGCGUGCCCAGCGCGCCCUCCGAGCGCUACCAGACCAACGGGGCACGUCCUGAAAUAAAUCCAACAGGAGUUCAAGGGGCAGGGACCCAAAAGAACAACAUGGAGAUAACGUGGACACCUCUGAACGCAACCCAGGCGUACGGGCCCAACCUCAGGUACAUCGUGCGGUGGCGGCGGCGGGACCCGCGCGGGAGCUGGUACAACGAGACGGUGCGGAGCGCGCGGCACGUGGUGUGGAACACGCCCAUCUUCGUCCCCUACGAGAUCAAGGUGCAGGCUGAGAACGACUUCGGCAGAGCCCCCGAGCCCGACACCUACAUCGGAUACUCCGGGGAGGAUUAUCCCAAGGCUGCGCCCACGGAUGUCAGGAUCAGAGUGUUAAACAGCACUGCCAUAGCUCUGACCUGGACCCGGGUGCACCUGGACACCAUCCAGGGACAGCUCAAGGAGUACCGAGCCUAUUUCUGGAGAGACAGCAGCUUGCUGAAGAACCUGUGGGUCUCCAAAAAACGGCAGUUUGUGAGUUUUCCUGGAGACCGCAACCGGGGCAUCGUGUCCCGGCUGUUCCCUUACAGCAACUACAAGCUGGAGAUGGUGGUCACCAACGGCCGGGGGGACGGGCCCCGCAGCGAAAUGAAGGAAUUCCCCACCCCUGAAGGAGUGCCCAGCGCCCCCAGGUACCUGCGGAUCCGACAGCCCAACCUGGAAAUCAUCAACCUGGAGUGGGAUCACCCCGAGCACCCCAACGGGAUCAUCACGGGAUACACCCUCCAAUACACACCCUUUAACGGGUCCCGGAUGGGCAGGACGGUGGUGGAGAACCUGUCCCCCAACCAGACGAGGUUCACCCUGCAGAGGUCGGACCCCAUCUCCCGCUACCGCUUCAGGCUCCGCGCCCGCACCCAGGUGGGAGAGGGAGAGAUCCUGAUGGAGGAUUCACCGGCGCUGCUGGACGAAGCCACGCCAAGCCCAGAGGCAACUGGGCCGCCUCCAACCCCAGUGGAGGAAACCAGUGCAGAAACCAGUGCAGAAACCACUCCUGAAACCAGCCCUACAAUCAGCCCUACAACCACCCCAACCACCACCGACACCACAACCACAACCACCACAACCACCACAACCACCACCAGCACCGCCGCCAGCACCGCCGCCAGCACCAGCGCCGCUGCCGAGAGGGCUCCGGCAGCCACCACCAGGCACGAGUUGGCCGCCAAUGGAUCGUCCAUAUGGGACAUCAGAGCCAUGGCAAACAGUAACUGGGCAAACAUCACCUGGAGCCACAAUUUCUCGGCAGGAACUGACUUUGUGGUUAAGUAUAUCACCAGUAACAAGACAGAGAAAUCAAUCCCCGUUAAGGCUCAGGGCCCGUCCUCGGUGCAGCUGGCGGAUCUGACGCCGGGGAUGAUGUACAAGCUGUGGGUAUUCCCCAUAUGGUCCCACCCCAGCGAGCACUCGUACAUUACCUUUACCACCAGCUCAGCCUACACCAAGAACCAGGUGGACAUCGCCACGCAGGGCUGGUUCAUCGGCCUCAUGUGCGCCAUCGCCCUCCUGGUGCUCAUCCUCCUCAUCGUCUGCUUCAUCAAGAGGAGCCGCGGCGGGAAGUAUCCAGUGCGGGACAACAAGGACGAGCACCUCAAUCCCGAGGACAAGAACGUGGAGGACGGAUCCUUCGACUACAGCGAUGAAGACAACAAACCUCUUCCCAACAGCCAGACCUCGCUGGACGGGACGAUAAAGCAGCAGGAGAGCGACGACAGCUUGGUGGACUACGGCGAAGGGGGCGAGGGCCAGUUCAACGAGGACGGCUCCUUCAUCGGCCAGUACACGGUCAAGAAGGACAAAGAGGAGACCGAGGGCAACGAGAGCUCCGAGGCCACGUCCCCCGUCAAUGCCAUUUAUUCCUUGGCAUAGCAAAAAAAAAAAAAAAAAAAAGCCGGGAAAAAAACACCCAGAGCCCGAGGGGUUCGGAGCGGGCGGGGGUUCCGCCGGCAGCCGCCGCCGCCGCCGACAGGAAAGGGAAUCGAGCGAGGACUGAAAAACACAAAACAAAACAAAACAAAAAAAAAAAUAGAGAAAAAAAUUAAAAAUAGCAAAAAAAUACAAAAAAAAAAAACCACAAAGGGAAAAAAAAAAAAAGAAAAGUAUUCCAACCAACUAGGCAGCCCAGGUGGCCGCCAAUGCCAUUUAUCCUUAGCAAACGAGCCAACGGCAAAGGACGCGCGGGGCGGGAGCCGGAGUGGGAAUCGGGGCUGGAGCUGGAGCAGCUGGAGGGGAGGAGAUGCUCGAGCUGCUCCCCAGUUUGGGAUUACUCCCCACUUUUGGGGUGCUCCCCAGCUUUGGGGUUGCUCCCCCAUUUUGGGGUUGCUCCGCCAGUUUGGGGCUGCUCCUUGGUUUUGGAGUUGCUUCCCGGUUGGGGAUUGCUCCUCAUUUUGGGGUUGCUUCCCAGUUUUGAGGUUUUUCCCCAGUUUUGAGGUUGUUCCCCAGUUUUGGGGUUGUUCCCCAGUUUUGGGGCUGCAUCAGGGCCAGUCCAGAAGGGCCCCGAGUUGGGCUCGGCUUCCCGAGGCUUUUUUUUUGUUCUUUUAGGAGGGAGCUCCAACUUUUUGGGUUUUAUUUUUCCAAGAAGGUUCUGGAUCAGAGGGGAAGGGGGAAAGAAAUCAAAGAAUUUUGGGGAGGGAAGAUUGGUGAAAGGGGCCUGGGCAGAGCAAAGGCAUGGAAGGAGGAGAGGGGUGGAUUUUGGGGUGAAAACACCAGAUUAUUGAGCUGUCCAUCCUCACGGCAGCACCUUGCCCAUAACCUCUCCCAAAAACCCUCCUUCCUGAAAAAAAACCUAUGCAGGGAAGAGCAGGUCCCCACCACCUCCCUCAGCACCGGGAUUUGUCCUUGCUGAGGCUGGGAAAACCCACAGGGAGCUCGUCCCCCGUUCCCACUGAGCUCCGGAGCACCCCGGGAGGAGAAGAGGUUGUGGAGGAACUUUUGGGAUUUGUGGAAGGACAGGGAGGAGCCUCUCCCCGGGGCGACAGCACUGCAGAAAAGCCUUUUUGGGUUUAAAUUUGCUUCGUAGGGAUUUCGGGGGGAGCCGCCCCCCACCCCACGCCUGCUUUCUUUCCAAGGCAACUCCAUAAAUCCAAUGUAGCAAAGAGGGCCUGGAAGCAGGAGCGGGAUCGGAAUAGGACGAGGAGAGCAGAAUGAUGAAUGAAAAAAUAAUCCAAGCGAGCUGCUGAGGAUGAGAAAAACCCCUGGGAUCAGGUGGAGGAUUCCCUCAAGGAUUCAGGGCUACAAAACGAGGAAGGAACACCAGAUCGGAACCCACACCUCCACAGGCACCGGAUGAGCUGGACGGACGCUGUUUUUCCCACCAAACCCCUUCCUCCUUUCUGACAGUGGCCUUUCCCCCCUCCAGCACUCAGCCAAGCCACCGUGGGACCCCCAUCCCGCCUGGAGACUCCCAGGAUUUCAGAGACCCCCCCUGAGCGCUCCUCACAUGCCUUACACAGCUUGGGACUCGCCGGGGAGUCACUCCAAGGAUGCUCUUCCCGCUCCGCUUCCACGCCCCGACGGCCUCGGAUCCACCUGAGCAGUAGGAAUGGGAUGUCUGGGAGCGUUCCCAGCUCUCCCAGCACGGAUCAGGGUAGAAGGCAGGGAUUCCUGAUGGACUGCGUCCCCGUGAAUCCUCCCACUUCCUGCACUUUUGAAACCAAAGGUACCUUUGCGAAGAGAAAGAGAGAGGCUGGGUUUCCUUCGGAAAAGAUGGAUUUUCCUUUUGGUUUUUUUUGGUUUUUGUUUUGUUUUUGUUUUUUCUGAGGAGGAUGGAGGGUUUUUUUGGAUGGGAUGCAACGGGAUUCGUGCAGUUAUUCUUUCUGCUCUGGAGACACGUCAGUGACAGGGAUACUCCCACUGCUAUGGAUUGUGGAGAGGGACUUUGCCACAUCCCGAUGGAUCCCUGGAAGAGCCCAGAGCGGGCCGACAGGAGAGAUGGAUGCAAAUUAAUCCAAUGCAAAUGCCUUCCUUAAAAUAAUAAUUAUCAUUGAUCUUGGUCGUCUUCUCUGAUAGGUCAAACGUGGGGUGAAGAUGGAGCUCGUGGGGUUGGAUUUGGUGACCUUGAAAGGUCCCUUCCCACCCAAAUUGUUCCAUGAAACCAACAGCAAAGGAAUUCCAGGGUUUAGGUCAGGGUCAAGAGGCAGAGCCCCCUCACAGAGCUGGGGGAGCUGUCCCAGGGAUGUCCCUCAUGUGUCACCCCCUGCCAGGACCCUCCAGCCGUGUCCCCUGGCAGGGACAGCCCCGUUGUGACCCUCAGUGUGGACACAGCCACGCCCCAAUCCCAGUCCUGUGACUCCCAGAAUUCCAUCCAGCUUUUAGGCAAACACCCCCCAGGGCAAAGGUGACACCAGCCCUGGGAUGGGGACAACCCCAUUCCCAAAGGUGACACCGCCCCUGGGAUGGGGACAAUCCCAUUCCCAAAGGUGACACCGCCCCUGGGAUGGGGACAAUCCCAUUCCCAAAGGUGACAUUGCCCCUGGGAUGGGACAAUCCCAUUCCCAAAGGUGACACCGCCCCUGGGAUGGGGACAAUCCCAUUCCCAAAGGUGACAUUGCCCCUGGGAUGGGGACAACCCCAUUCCCAAAGGUGACACCGCCCCUGGGAUGGGACAAUCCCAUUCCCAAAGGUGACACCGCCCCUGGGAUGGGGACAACCCCAUUCCCAAAGGUGACACAGCCCCUGGGAUGGGGACAAUCCCAUUCCCAAAGGUGACACCGCCCCUGGGAUGGGGACAAUCCCAUUUCCAAAGGCGACACCGCCCCUGGGAUGGGGACAACCCCAUUCCCAAAGGCGACACCGCCCCUGGGAUGGGACAAUCCCAUUCCCAAAGGUGACACAGCCCCUGGGAUGGGGACAAUCCCAUUCCCAAAGGUGACAUUGCCCCUGGGAUGGGACAACCCCAUUCCCAAAGGUGACACAGCCCCUGGGAUGGGGACAAUCCCAUUCCCAAAGGUGACAUUGCCCCUGGGAUGGGGACAAUCCCAUUCCCAAACCAUUCCCAACUCCCAGCUGAGUUUGGAUGAGUCCCUGCCCAAGCAUCACUGGGAAUGAGAAAUAAAUCCAGCCUCUGGAUCUGGGAUCUUCCCAUCACUCCCAGUCCUUGCUGCUGACAGGGACCGCAAAACUCCUCCAAACCUCUGGAAAUCAGGCCAGGAUUGCUGGAAGUGGGUCCGUGUUGGGAAUCCAUGAUGUGCCAUUUCCAUGAAAACCCGUAUUUCUGAAACACCCCAUCCCUGAGGAAAUCUCUCAGCACCCCCUUGGAAAAAGGGAUGGGAAGGAGCUGGACUCUACCCAACCUUAUCCCAAAUUUCCUCAUAAAAUUCCCCAGGUUACUUUGAGUAAUGAGAAGUGGGAGGAGAUGCAGAGGUGCACAAACAACUCAGUGUAAAUUACUCACGGCCCUGUCUCAGCUCGGUGUAAAAGUUACUCAACGUUUCUAAGGUUUAGCUAAAAUUCUGACAUUUCUUCAAAAUUUCCCCCCUGGAGUUUUGGAGCCCAAAGACAAUUCAGGCUAAAAACUCAUCCUGAGCUUCUCAUCUCUUACUCCUUUGAGUAAAAUUCAAGGUUUGCACAGGGAGAAAAGCCCUGAGCCCAAACCUUCCACAGCGCUCACAGGGUGACCCCACAGAUCCCAAAAACCCAGACAGGGCUGGGAUGAACCCACACUGUGUCCUGGGAGCAUCCUUGGAGCAGGAGAUGGAUGGAUGGAUGGAUGGAUGGAUGGAUGGAUGGAUGGAUGGAUGGAUGGAUGGAUGGAUGGAUGGAUGAGGGAUGGAUGGAUGGAUGGAUGGAUGAUGGAUGGAUGGAUGGAUGGAUGGAUGGAUGGAUGGAUGGAUGGAUGGAUGGAUGGAUGGAUGGAUGGAUGGAUGGAUGGAUGGAUGGAUGCAUGGACGGAUGG